rnacentral:rRNA from 1 species
UACGUAGGUGGCAAGCGUUGUCCGGAAUUAUUGGGCGUAAAGGGCUCGUAGGCGGCCAACUAAGUCGGACGUGAAAUCCCCAGGCUUAACUUGGGAACUGCGUCCGAUACUGGAUGGCUUGAAUCCGGGAGAGGGAUGCGGAAUUCCAGGUGUAGCGGUGAAAUGCGUAGAUAUCUGGAGGAACACCGGUGGCGAAGGCGGCAUCCUGGACCGGUAUUGACGCUGAGUGAGCGAAAGCCAGGGGAGCAAACGGG